rnacentral:rRNA from 1 species
CCUACGGGGGGCAGCAGUAGGGAAUAUUGCUCAAUGGGCGAAACCCUGAAGCAGCAACGCCGCGUGGAGGAUGACGGUCUUCGGAUUGUUAACCCCCUUUUUUAGAGAAGUUACUGACGGUAUCUAACGAAUAAUCACCGUCUAACAUCGGUCCAGCAGCCGCUGUAAUACGGAGGGUGCGAGCGUUACUCGGAAUCACUGGGCGUAAAGGGCGCGUAGGCGGGAUAGCAAGUCAGAUGUGAAAUUCUCAGGCUUAACCAUAGAACUGCAUUUGAAACUGUUAUUCUAGAGUAUGGGAGAGGUAGGUGGAAUUCGUGGUGUAGGGGUGAAAUGCGUAGAGAUCACGAGGAAGACUGAUUGCGAAGGCAGCCUGCUAGAACGUAACUGACGCUGAUGCGCGAAAGCGUGGGGAGCAAACAGGAUUAGAUACCCGAGUAGUC